GGGGCUAGGAAGCUCUGACUACGGUCCUACAAACACCGAUCCGAGCGAGGUGGAAUACGUCGACCGUUAGGGCUGUCACUACCCUAGGGCUACCACAACAAUCCGCAGGAUUGGGUGCAAUUCCAGGUAAUUGCAAGACUAAACACCACGUCUAAUCUAUUAAUUACUACUCUAAUGUUGCAAAGAUUAGAGCACUUGAUGCAAGCGGGAAUCCAAUAAAUAACUUGAAUGUAAAUAAAAGUAAUUAAAGAACUUAGGAUUAUGAAUUAAAGAACCUG
rnacentral:lncRNA from 1 species